rnacentral:rRNA from 1 species
CUGGUGCUUGCAUCAUGAUUUACAUUUGAGUGAGUGGCGAACUGGUGAGUAACACGUGGGAAACCUGCCCAGAAGCGGGGGAUAACACCUGGAAACAGAUGCUAAUACCGCAUAACAACUUGGACCGCAUGGUCCGAGCUUGAAAGAUGGCUUCGGCUAUCACUUUUGGAUGGUCCCGCGGCGUAUUAGCUAGAUGGUGGGGUAACGGCUCACCAUGGCAAUGAUACGUAGCCGACCUGAGAGGGUAAUCGGCCACAUUGGGACUGAGACACGGCCCAAACUCCUACGGGAGGCAGCAGUAGGGAAUCUUCCACAAUGGACGAAAGUCUGAUGGAGCAACGCCGCGUGAGUGAAGAAGGGUUUCGGCUCGUAAAACUCUGUUGUUAAAGAAGAACAUAUCUGAGAGUAACUGUUCAGGUAUUGACGGUAUUUAACCAGAAAGCCACGGCUAACUACGUGCCAGCAGCCGCGGUAAUACGUAGGUGGCAAGCGUUGUCCGGAUUUAUUGGGCGUAAAGCGAGCGCAGGCGGUUUUUUAAGUCUGAUGUGAAAGCCUUCGGCUCAACCGAAGAAGUGCAUCGGAAACUGGGAAACUUGAGUGCAGAAGAGGACAGUGGAACUCCAUGUGUAGCGGUGAAAUGCGUAGAUAUAUGGAAGAACACCAGUGGCGAAGGCGGCUGUCUGGUCUGUAACUGACGCUGAGGCUCGAAAGUAUGGGUAGCAAACAGGAUUAGAUACCCUGGUAGUCCAUACCGUAAACGAUGAAUGCUAAGUGUUGGAGGGUUUCCGCCCUUCAGUGCUGCAGCUAACGCAUUAAGCAUUCCGCCUGGGGAGUACGGCCGCAAGGCUGAAACUCAAAGGAAUUGACGGGGGCCCGCACAAGCGGUGGAGCAUGUGGUUUAAUUCGAAGCUACGCGAAGAACCUUACCAGGUCUUGACAUACUAUGCAAAUCUAAGA